GCCGACGUAGCUCAGCUGGUAGAGCAGCUCACUCGUAAUGAGCAGGUCAGCGGUUCGAGUCCGCUCGUCGGCUCCA
rnacentral:tRNA from 5 species